ensembl:lincRNA
GGCUUGUUCAGUGUCACAUGGCCAGUUUAAUGCUGUUAAUAAUAUGAAGAAGGUUUCCAUGGCUCCAAAGGUUGUGUCAUUAUGCUUUACUCUUCUGUGCUUUUAUUUUUAUUCAUCUUUGCUGUGUACACAUGAAAAUAUAUAUGCUGUAUAAAUGUACCUUUGUCUUUUUUGGUCCUAGGUAUGUGAUGCAGGAGCCAUGGCAAAUCAGACCAUGAGACACGGCGUUAUGGGAGAUAGCCACAAGGUGGCAGCAAAAUCUCAAGGAUUUUCUCUGAUACAGUCCAGACCCCUUCUUGCUUUCCUGUAUUUACACAGCCCCCUUCAAGACCAAGGACACCAAGAUAAGAGAUUCACAGGACAUUCAACUGCUAACAAGCACCCAGAAGUCUGCAGUCAUUGCCCUGAAUCUAUAGUCACCUUGGAUUCCAGCAGAACCCCCACAAAACUGAGACUGUCCCAAGAAGAAACAUUCCUCUCAUGGAGACAGAAUUGCUCCCUCAAGCAGUAAGGACUUCUUCCAUAGAUGUCUUGCAAAACCAGAACUGAGAUAAUCAUCAACCACCUCUAGCCCAUUCCAGAAAAUCCAUAAACCUGGUUGCACUUUCUUUUUUGUCAGUGGGCAGUACUAUUCACUUUCUGUUGGUUGGACAUAAUACCUAAUAACCACAACUUAAAAAGGACGUUUCUUUUGGUUCAUGGUUCUAGUGGGUUCAGUCCAUGGUUGGCUGAAUCCAAGGCAGAAAUGACAUGGCAGAAGGACAGAGCAGAUGAAAGCUGCUUACCCCAUGGCAGCCAGAAUGGAGAAAGAGAAGGGAGGAGCCAGGGACAAGAAUAUACCCUUCCAGGUCAUGUCCCAAGUGGCCUGCCGCCUCCAACCAGGCCUCACCUCUAAAUACAAGACUUUUGGGGAACGUCUUAGAUCUAAACCAUAACAAGGCCAAUAUACUCUGCACCAGAGCUGAAGUCCUCUAUUUUCUCUUACUUUCUAACUCUGCCUGAUAAGAUUGCCUGUACUUCAUACUGAUGCAUCCUGAAAUGCUUUUAUGUGACAGGAGUUGACAGUUUUACUCCAUGGAGAGGGAGAAGUUGAGCUCCAUGGCUCAUCUUUUUUGUUUGUUUGUUUGCUUUUUUUUUGUUUUUUUGAGACAAGGUCUCACUAUGUAGUUGAGACUGACCUAGAGCUCACUAUGUAGCCCAGGCUGGUCUCGAACUUACAGUGAUCCUCCUACCUCAGCCUCCCGAGUGCUGGGAUUACAGGCAUGCGCCACCACACCUGGCUACCAUGGCUCAUCUUUGGGGGACCUCAUCAGACCCCAUCCAGUGACAAAAUUACUACCCCAAAUAUAAAAUAAAUGGACAUGUGUCAUAGUGAUAAAAGUAUAGGUUUGAAUAAAUAAAUAAAAUUUCCCACCAAAUUUUAUUUAAUAUACCAUGGAUUGAACUUUGCACUUGUGAGGCAGGCGCAGCGCCACUGAGCUAAAUCUCUGGCCCCUAGAUAGUCCUUUUUCUAAGAGGUGACACUUCAUUCCUCUUUCAACCAUGAGGAUGUACUUGGCUUAUUAGUGACUGCAUUCUCUUAAAUAAAACAUUUUAGCCAGGCACAGUGGUACAUGCCUAUAAUCUCAGCUUGGCUCAGUCAGGAGGACUACAAGUGCAAGCUCAAUAUGGGCAAUUUUGUGAGACCCUGCCUUAAAAGAAAAAUAAAAAGGGCUGGGGGUGUAGGUCCAUGACAGAGUACUUGCCUAGUAUGCAGGAUGCCUUGGGUUCAAACCCAAUUCUGAAAAAAAAAAAAAAAAGAAGACUACUAUUUCAUGCUAAGUUCUUACACAAGGCCCCACCAAACCAGAUAAAAAAUGAAAAUGGAGUCACUCAUACAAAAGUUCUACAUCACCAGAAUGCAACUUAUUUGUUAUCUUACCUUCUAUAAAUCAGGACAGUAAGAAUAGCUGAAUUUCUCAAAUAGUUCAGUUGCAGACAGCAUAAUGAGGUCCUCUUUGCUAUAAAUCUUACCAAUAAAAAGUAAUUUGAAAUAAUCCAAUAUUAACCAAUCAGUUUUUUCCUUGUUCUAGUUCCCUGUUCCUGCCUUAUGAUGAUGUAAAUUUUCAGUGACUAAUCAUGCUUUGACCUUGAUUUCUGCUUUCUUCAGCCCUUCACUAUAGAUAAAAUCUACUUUUUCUGUUCGGCUCAUGGGACACUUAUCUUUUUUUAUGGAAUGAAGGGUUGCCUGGUUCUACAAUUAUAAACAAAGCC